rnacentral:rRNA from 1 species
GACGAACGCUGGCGGCGUGCUUAACACAUGCAAGUCGAACGGAAAGGCCCUGCUUUUGUGGGGUGCUCGAGUGGCGAACGGGUGAGUAACACGUGAGUAACCUGCCCUUGACUUUGGGAUAACUUCAGGAAACUGGGGCUAAUACCGGAUAGGAGCUCCUGCUGCAUGGUGGGGGUUGGAAAGUUUCGGCGGUUGGGGAUGGACUCGCGGCUUAUCAGCUUGUUGGUGGGGUAGUGGCUUACCAAGGCUUUGACGGGUAGCCGGCCUGGGAGGGUGACCGGCCACAUUGGGACUGAGAUACGGCCCAGACUCCUACGGGAGGCAGCAGGGGGGAAUAUUGCACAAUGGGCGGAAGCCUGAUGCAGCAACGCCGCGUGCGGGAUAACGGCCUUCGGGUUGUAAACCGCUUUCGCCUGUGACGAAGCGUGAGUGACGGUAAUGGGUAAAGAAGCACCGGCUAACUACGUG